GACGAACGCUGGCGGCGUGCUUAACACAUGCAAGUCGAACGGAAAGGCCCUGCUUUUGUGGGGUGCUCGAGUGGCGAACGGGUGAGUAACACGUGAGUAACCUGCCCUUGACUUUGGGAUAACUUCAGGAAACUGGGGCUAAUACCGGAUAGGAGCUCCUGCUGCAUGGUGGGGGUUGGAAAGUUUCGGCGGUUGGGGAUGGACUCGCGGCUUAUCAGCUUGUUGGUGGGGUAGUGGCUUACCAAGGCUUUGAAGGCUAGCCGGCCUGAGAGGGUGACCGGCCACAUUGGGCCUGAGAUACGGCCCAGACUCCUACGGGAGGCAGCAGUGGGGAAUAUUGCAGAAUGGGCGGAAGCCUGAUGCAGCAACGCCGCGUGCGGGAUGACGGCCUUCGGGUUGUAAACCGCUUUCGCCUGUGACGAAGCGUGAGUGACGGUAAUGGGUAAAGAAGCACCGGCUAACUACGUG
rnacentral:rRNA from 1 species